rnacentral:pre_miRNA from 1 species
AUUACCUAGAGAUCUUGUUAAAAUACAGAUUCUGAUUCGGAGUUCUGGGGUGGAACCAGAGAGUCUGUAUUUCUAACAAGCUCCUAGAUGAUGCUAC